rnacentral:misc_RNA from 1 species
CUGCGAUUCCUCUGAAAGUAGGUCGCUUGUAAUUUGAUCACAACGCACUUGUGAACAAAAUCCAGUCAUAUAUAAUAAAAGGGAAAAAAAAAAAUUGCACUUUCACCAAUGUAAGUAUGGAACAUAGGCACAACCAAUCUCCUGUUUGCUAGCACAAGACAACAUUGUAUAACUGCUUAAAUAUUAGAUUGAAAACGCAAACAAAUAAUACAACAGCAGAAAUUUACUGAAAAAAUUAAACAGGCUAACCUGUCAACUAGAUCAUCGGAAUCCAUAGAAAUUCUAGUAAGACUGGUAAUGCUCUGCUCAAGAACACAACAUAAUUUUCGACUGCCUUCGAAGCCUGUUUGCUCUGUUUUUCCAUUCUAGCAUUAUUUCAGUAAGUGAAGGGACUUGUGGAGAGGUGCUGUAAAAAAUUCACUCUCAUGCAGAUGCAGGUUUACCUUCAAAGAUUGGCAUGAGAGGAGGGAGAUUAGUAUCCCCAUUUGAUAGACUCUGCAAUGUAGCAACAGUACAGUUUCCCUCUCUCUUCUAACUUUUGAACAUGUAUCCAUCAGUGGGUUGAUAACAGGAGAAAUAAGAAGGGGAGAGGCUCAUUGCAUUACAACAAAGCAAGGAUCUGCACAUUCUAAUUUCACAAAAAUAUUAUUUCAAAUUGGUUGUCCCAUGUACAAUUGUCCUUGUUACACAAAACCUUUAUUCUCAUUAUCAUAUAUGGCAUUAUGAUGAUAAUAGACACGCAUGGAAGUCCACCUGUUGAAGGAACCUUACACUGUCACUGCCGCCAAGUUACAAGUCACCAGUCAUUCCAAAUCAAGGGUGCAGAUGCAAGAACACAGUGUAAUUUCCAUGCAACUACGGAGCAAUUCAGCUCAUAAAUGCUUUCAAAACUCUGCAAUAUGCCAGUUGUGGGAGCCAAAGCUCCGUCUUUUUAAUAGUUAGGAAUCAUUUAGACCUAACAAGGUAAGACGCCCAUAUGUCAUCAGCUGGAGGAGGUGGCUGAACCCAAUGCCCUGGAAUGCGGCUCCCUCCUGGUCUUAUAUAUGCAUCCCAUGUUCUUCUAACCUCGAUAAGUGUGCCCAUAUCAUUAUUGCUACCGUAGUAAUAGUGGUAGAAUUCCAUUGGUAAAUUUGCCACAGAAUCAUAAGCUCCAGUAUAACUUUGACCUUCAGUUCCUCUUUCUUCAGAUGGAACAGUGACCACACCAGAGCCUGCACUGCCAUUGACAUCAUUUAUUUUGCCUGUACUUUCCUUAGUUCGAACAUUAUCACCACUUGAAUCCUUGGAGAUAGGUCCAUGAUUCUGGGUUGUUUUCCGGGAUUCCUCAGCAGUUGCAAUGGCAUCCUUGGCAGCAUCAGUGUCAGCAGCAACCAUUGCUUGCCGCUCCUCUUCCUCAACUGCAGCCCGAACUCUCUCAAGAAACCUGUCAUCCUCCUCCGGGAGAAAAUGCCCUUGUUUUUUCAAUUUUUGAAUCCUGAUGGAACGCAAUUCCUGCAACUUCUCCACGAUCAAAACCAGCUCAAGCUCUGAUUCUAGUCUCUUUCUCUCCUCUUUCACUUUAAGCUUUGCAAUCUGCUUCAUAUUAUCCACCUUGAGUUGUGCAACAUCCUUGGCAAUCUCCCUAGCCAUCCACUCGUUAGCUUCUCGAUCAGCUUGGUCAAAUUGUUCAUGCUCCUUUGCAUGCAUUUCUGCAAUACGUUUUCUCUUUCUCUUCCUCCAAAGUUUAUUUCGUUUACUCUUUAGCAUCUUAUCAGACAAUCUAAUGGCUGCAGAUUUCUCCUCCCAAGGGCUUGCUUCAUCUAUGAGAGGUCGAAAUGGCCCUAGCUGAGCUCUUAAUUUUGAUAUCAAAGAGUUUGCAGCAUCCAGAGAAAGUGUGUCUUGUGCUUUCAAAUCAUUUUUCCUAUCUUCUAAACACUUGGAUAAGCCACAAGCAACAGGAUCAAAGGACCCCCUUUCCCCAUGUUCCGAAAAUCCUUCAGCAUCUUUCGAUGUCAUCAACAUUUCUAGCUCCUUCUGCAUUGCUUUUGCCAGAAUCAUAGUCUCUUGUAAGUCUCUCAGCCGAUCAUGCACAUUUUCGGUCUCCCAGAAAGCACUUGACUGGGUAGGGUUUGGUGGUAACAUGGGCAACCACGGAGGAGGAGAUGGUGCAGCAGGAGCCAAAUUAAAUGGAACCAGAUUCAUUGAGUGAUUGCAGAUAAUUUAAAAUUAACCUUCAGAAAGAGCUACAAAUGAAAAAAGAAAACAGAAAGGUAACGCAAUAUCAGUUUGCUCCAGGAUGAGAGGACUAAUUUAUGAAAGAACUUGUGUGAAACUUUAUUGAAUGAGAGAAAAUUUGAAUUUUUAUUGCACCUAUGAAGUUGUACUGUUUG